GCCAGCAGCCAUAUCACCCUGCAUCUCACAGCUAGCAGUCCAUUGAAGCCCAGCAUGUGUGAACCUGGCCAGUCCCUGGAUGGGAGACCUCCUGGGAAAAACUAAGGUGGCUGCUGGAA
rnacentral:rRNA from 1 species